GUGUCCAAAAACUACCCCGUGGACACGUGCCACCUGUCACCUGCUCUGUAUCCUCCCAGGUGUGUCACAUCAGUGGGCAACAACAGGUUGGCGCGGCAGGUCCAGGCUUGGUACAGCAGGUUAUCGUAUCUGCACAGGAGGCCGAGGCCGUCUUCUCCUGAGGCAACAUUAAAAAACUGUGAACCUUGUA